rnacentral:lncRNA from 1 species
GGAGCCUGAUGUGGGACUUGAUCCUAGGUCUCCAGGAUCAUGCCCUGGGCCGAAGGUGGUGCUAAACUGCUGAGCCACCCAGGCUGCCCCCAAACUUGUUUUUUUAAAUUUUUCUCAGUCUUAUCAGUGGGUAUCAUCUGUGGCUACCUUUACCACUGAGGAUUAAGCAUGGCUUAUAGAAAAAUUCUAUCAUAGGUGUUCCUUAUCACCUAGUUAGCUCUUCUAAAAAGAAGGGAAGUCUCUCUAGAAGCAAAUUACAGUUAAAUUGUUAUAUUUAAUUUCUAGUAAGAGAUCAGAUAAAAGUCUUGGGCCCUUGCUGUAAAUGUAAUCAUUACAGAUUGAGGUGGCAUUUAACUGAUAGUGUUUUUCUUUUAAGAACCUAGCUCUAUAGUUAAUUUUCUUAUUUCCAUCUCUGUUUUCAAAUUAUUAUAUACAAUAGACUUUGGCCAGUUUCUAUUAGCUCUGAAGGAAUACACUUUUUUAUUUUAUAUUACAGUGCUUCAUUUGUUUUGCAUGAUGUAGUGCUAUAGUUAAUUAUCCGUUGGGAAAGAGGUCUUUCCUCAAAGGGAAUUACUUUGGCAUUAUUCAUGGCCAAUUGUAGUGUGCCUUAAGCUAGAUUUUCUUUGCUAUCCAUGUCCUCCCAGGAUGUGUUCUGUCAUCCUGCUGAAGGAAUGCAAAUUAACUUCAUUUUGGGCCCAAAUAAGACUUAGUUUAAGAGGACAAAUCUGCUGAAGGAAAAUGAUGUGUUGCCAAGCCAAACAAACUAUUUUUGUUUGAAUUAUGUUUUUUUUCUUUUCAUUGAUAUGGAUAAUACAGAAAUGACUUAUUGGGAUUGUUUCUCAUUUAAUAUAUUCAUCCUGGGAUUAACUAAGUAGCAAAGCAAUAAUGUGUUGAAUGCAAACUAUUUUGAUUUUUUUUAACCUAGAAAUUAAAAAAAUAAAAUAUUUAAGAUACUGAUAAUAUUUUUGUGAGUUUCUAAAGUAGUACUAAGGUGAUCGUGUGGUAUACAUAGUCUAUAUUUAAACUAUAUGGAAAAAAAUACUUUCAAGUGAUUUUUUUCAUGUGUCUUUGGACAUAUAAUGUGUUUGUUGCAGGGGCUUAAGAAGAGUUGACUUUUUAAAAAUUUUCAUUCAUUUGAGAGAGAGAAGUAGAGGGAGGGGCAGAGAGAAAAGUAGAUUCCCUACUAAGUAGGGAGCAUGGUGUGGGGCUCUAUCACAGCAACUUGGGAUCAUGACCUGAGCUGAAGGCAGAUGCCCAAUCGGCUGAGCCACCCAGGUGCCCCAAGUUGACUUUUUAUAAUUAGUUUUAUUGUAAUGAAUCAUAGGUAUUAAAGUUUAUAUAAAUAAAAGUUAAGUUGAUAGUAGUUUACUAUCUUGAGAUUACUAUGAUACUGUAACAGCAAUGAAUUACAUGUACAGUAACAGGAAAACACAGGUUUUUUUUGUUUUUUUGUUUUUUUUUUAAGGUUUACUUGUUUAUUUUAGAGCAUGAUUCAGAGAAGGGGUAGAAGGAGAGGGAAAGAGAAUCCUCAAGCAGACUUAGUGCUAAGUGUGGAGCUCCACAUGGGCCUUGAUCCCAGCCAGGACCCUGAGAUCAUGACAUGAAAGGAAACCAAGAGUAGGCUGCUCAACCAACUGAGCUACCCAGGUGCCCCCACACAGGUCCAUUCUUCUUAUUUUCUUUAAUUUUAUUUUUUAGAGAGACAGAGUGGUGAGAGUGCUCAACACAGAGCUCAGCACAGAGCCCAAUGUGGGACUUGAUCUCAUAACCUUGAUUUUUUUAUUUAAUUUUUUUAUUGGAGUUCAAUUUGCCAACAUAUAGCAGAACACCCUGUGCUCAUCCCACCAAGCGCCCCCCUCAGUGCCCAUCAUCCACUCACCCCAACCCCCCGCCCACCUCCCCUUCUACUACCCCUUGUUCAUUUCCCAGAGUUAGCUGUCUCUCAUGCUUUGUCACCCUCACUGAUAUUUUCACUCAUUUUCUCUCCUUUCCCUUUAUUUCCUUUCACUAAUUUUUAUAUUCCCCAAAUGAAUGAGACCAUAUAAUGUUUGUUCUUUUCCGAUUGACUUACUUCACUCAGUAUAAUACCCUCCAGGUCCAUCCACGUCGAAGCAAAUGGUGGGUAUUUGUCGUUUCUAAUGGAGUAAUAUUCCAUUGUAUACAUAUACCACAUCUUCUUUAUCCAUUCAUCUUUCGAUGGACACCGAGGCUCCUUCCACAGUUUGGCUAUUGUGGACAUUGCUGCUUUAAACAUCGGGGUGCAGGUGUCCAGGCGUUUCACUGGAUCUGUAUCUUUGGGGUAAAUCCCCAGCAGUGCAAUUGCUGGGUCGUAGGGCAGUUCUAUUUUUACCUUUUUGAGGAACCUCCACACAGUUUUCCAGAGUGGCUGCACCAGUUCAUAUUCCCACCCACAGUGCAAGAGGGUUCCCCUUUCUCCACAUCCUCUCCAUCAUUUGUUGUUUCCUGCCUUGUUAAUUUUCCCCAUUCUCACUGGUGUGAGGUGGUAUUUUAUUGUGGUUUUGAUUUGUAUUUCCCUGAUGGCCAGUGAUGCAGAGCAUUUUCUCAUGUGCAUGUUGGCCAUGUCUAUGUCUUCCUCUGUAAAAUUUGUUCAUGUCUUUUGCCCAUUUCACAAUUGGAUUGUUUGUUUCUUUGCUGUUGAGUUUAGUAAGUUCUUUAUAGAUCUUGGAUACUAGCCCUUUAUCUGAUAGGUCAUUUGGCUGCCAGUUUUUAAGGUAAGUAUGACCACUUUCCUUGUUUGGUUGCUGAAGCUGAAUUUUUAUGGCACUUAACACUUGCACUAAAAGAUGAGAAUCAUAAAUCCCACUUGGUCAUGGUGAAUAAUCUUCUUUUUUUUUUUUUUGGUGAAUAAUCUUCUUAAUGUAUUGUUGGAUCCUAUUGGCUAGUAUCUUGUUGAGAAUUUUUGCAUCUGUGUUCAUCAGGGAUAUUGGUCUAUAAUUCUCCUUUUUGGUGGGGUCUUUGGUUUUGGAAUUAAGGUGAUGCUGGCCUCAUAGAACGAGUUUGGAAGUACUCCAUCUCUUUCUGUCUUUCCGAACAGCUUUAGUAGAAUAGACAUGGUUUCUUCUUUAAACAUUUGAUACAAUUCCCCUGGGAAGCCAUCUGUCCCUGGCCUUUUAUAAAAAAGUCUUGGGAGGUUUUUGAUGACUGCUUCAAUUUCCUCCCUGGUUAUUAGCCUGUUCAGGUUUUCUAUUUCUUCCUGUUCCAGUUUUGGUAGUUUGUGGCUUUCCAGGAAUGCGUCCAUUUCUUCUAGAUUGCCUAAUUUAUUGGCGUAUAGCUGUUCAUAAUAUGUUUUUAAAGUCGUCUUUAUUUCCUUGGUGUUGGUAGUGAUCUCUCCUUUCUCAUUCAUGAUUUUAUUAAUUUGAGUCUUCUCUCUCUUCUUUUUAAUAAGGCUGGCUAAUGGUUUAUCUAUCUUAUUAAUUCUUUCAAAGAACCAACUCCUGGUUCUGUUGAUCUGUUCCACAGUUCUUCUGGUCUUGAUUUCGUUGAGUUCUGCUCGAAUCUUAAUUAACUCUCUUCUGCUGAGUGUAGGAUCUAUUUGCUGCUUUUUCUCUAGCUCCUUUAUGUGUAAGGUUAGCUUUUGUAUUUGAGUUCUUUCCAGUUUUUGAAUGGAUGCUUGUAUUGCGAUGUAUUUCCCCAUUAGGACUGCUUUUGCUGCAUCCCAAAGAUUUUGAACGGUUGUAUCUUCAUUCUCAUUAGUUUCCAUGAAUCUUUUUAAUUCUUCUCUGAUUUCCUGGUUGACCCUUUUAUCUUUUAGCAGGAUGGUCCUUUACCUCCACGUGUUUGAAAUCCUUCCAAACUUCUUCUUGUGAUUUAGUUCUAGUUUCAAAGCAUUAUGGUCUGAAAAUAUGCAGGGUACAAUCCCAAUCUUUUGGUAUCUGUUAAGACCUGAUUUGUGACCCAGUAUGUGGUCUAUUCUGAAGAAAGUUCCAUGGGCACUUGAGAAGAAUGUGUAUUCAGUUGUGUUUGGAUGUAAAGUUCUGUAAAUAUCUGUGAAAUCCAUCUGGUCCAGUGUAUCAUUUAAAGUUCUUGUUUCUUUGGAGAUGUUGUGCUUAGAAGAUCUGUCGAUUAUAGAAAGUGCUGUGUUCAAGUCACCAAGUAAGUGUGUUAUUAUUUAAGUAUGUCUUAACUUUUGUUAUUAAUUGAUUUAAAUAUUUGGCAGAUCCCACAUUCAGGGCAUAAAUAUUCAUGAUUGUUAGGUCCUCUUGUUGGAUAGAUCCUUUAUGAUAUAGUGUCCCUUUUCAUCUCUUACUACAGUCUUUGGGAUAAACUUUAAUUUAUCUGAUAAAAGGAUGGCUACCCCUGCUUUCUUUUGAGGACCAUUUGAAUGGUAAAUUGUUCUCCAAUUUUUUAUUUUCAGGCUGUAGGUGUCCUUACGUCUAAAAUGAGUCUUUGUAGACAGCAAAUAGAUGGGUCUUGCUUUUUUAUCCAGUCUGAAACUCUUCGCCUUUUGAUGGGAUCAUUAAGCCCAUUCACGUUCUGAGUUACUAUUGAAAGAUGAAUUUAGUGUCAUCAUGAUACCUAUUCAGUCCCUGAUUUUGUGAAUUGUUUCCUUGGACUUUUUCUUUUACAGAGCCCCCCUUAAUAUUUCUUGCAGAGCUGGUUUGGUGGUCACAUAUUCUUUCAGUUUCUGCCUAUCUUCAAAGCUCUUUAUCUCUCCUUCUAUUCUUUUUUUUUUUUUUUCCUUCUAUUCUGAAUGAGAGCCUUGCUGGAUAAAGUAUUCUUGGCUGUAUGUUCUUCUCAUUUAGGACCCUGAAUAUAUCCUGCCAUCACUCUCUGGCCUGCCAGCUCUCUGUGGAGAGGUCUGCUGUUAACCUAAUACUUCUCCCCAUAAAGGUUAGGGAUCUCUUGUCUCUUGCUUCUUUAAGGAUCUUCUCUUCAUCUUUGGAAUUUGCAAAUUUCACUAUUAAAUGUUGAGGUGUUGAGCGGUUUUUAUUGAUUUUGGGGGUGGGGAUCUUUCUAUCCCCUGGAUCUGAAUGCCUGUUUCCCUUCCCAAGUUAGAAAAGUUCUCAGCUAUGAUUUGUUCAAAUACACUUUCUGGUCCUCUGUCUCUUUUGGUGUCCUCUGUCUCUUUUGGCGCCCUCUGUCUCUUUCGGCGCCCUCUGUCUCUUUCGGCGCCCUCUGGAACCACAAUUAAACAUAGAUUUUUCCUUCUGAGGCUGGCUGUCAUUUAUUUCCCUUAACCUGUCCUCAUGAUCUUUUAACUGUUUUUCUCUUUUUCCUCAGCUUACUUCCUUGCCAUCAACUUGUCUUCUGUGUCACUCACUCGUUCUUCUACCUCUUUAACCCUCAUUGUUAGGACCUCUAGUUUGGAUUGCAUCUCAUUUAAUUGAUUUUUAAUUUCUGCCUGAUUAGAUCUAAAUUCUACAGUCAUGAAGUCUCUUGAAUCCUUUAUGCUUUUUUCUAGAGCCACCAGUAGCUUUAUAAUUGUGCUUCUGAAUUGGCUUUCUGACUUUGAAUUGUAAUCCAAAAUUUGUAACUCUGUGGGAGAGAGUACUGUUUCUGAUUUCUUUUGUGGUGAAUUUUUCCUUCUAGUCAUUUUGCUCAGUGCAGAGUGUCCAAAAACAAGUUGUACUGGAAAAAAGAGAAAAAGAAAAAAAAAGGGGUGGGGAACAAACAAAACAAAAAACAAGGGGGAGUAUCCUUUGAUCCUAUAUAGUGUAAAUCCCUCCACUUCCCCUGGAACUUUCCAGAGCUGCUUGGUCAAUAAGUUGCUUUUCCCCUGUCCUUCCAGCUGGUCUUCUGGGGGAGGGGCCUGCUGUGCUGAUUCUCAGGUGUGUGCACCUGGGGGAGCUGUCCAGCCCCCUGCCAGGUGCAAGGCUCAAUGGGAGCUGUUUAUCCUGUGAAGCCCCUGCUCAGUCCCAGGUACAAGGUGACACCAGGAGGAACAACAAUGGCGGUGGCCAGCUCUCCAGCUCUAGAGUCAGCUCCCGCGUUAAUUACUGCAGCUCCCAGCCUGCAGGGGCCUGGAUGCUCCAGGGGCAGGGGACGCUGAUAUGCACAGCUCGGGGCCGCACAGCGGCAGGAGCGUCCUUGCUGCCCUGUGUCCUCCCAGCCUCCACCUGUCCCGGGGGGGUGGGGAGCAGAUCUCGGGCAGUGUCCCCCAGCGCCCUUGGUCCGGGGC